AUAUAUCUCGAAUUUUAUAUUUAGUAAAUUUCAGGCAAAAGUUAACAUUUAUCAUAUAUUUUAAUCACUAUUAACCAAUUUAAUGUUUUAAAAGUCUACAUUAGCUCACUAAUUUUGUCAAUAAUUUAAAUUACGUCGUCAUAAAAGUAUUAAAUUAAUCACAAAGGAAAUAUGAAUAACGAAUUAUUUUUUGAACGAGGUUAUUAAAAGUAGAAUGACGGAAGUAAGUAAUAGGUGUAUGAGAGAGUUUGAGCUUCAGGAAGAAGAAUGUCUUAAGGAUAUAUUAUUUGUCGAUGGAAAUGAAGCGGAUUGCGACGAAGAUAAAAAUAAUUUAAUAGAGCAGGUCUGGUGGCUUUCUAAACCGCCUGUAGUUAAAGAGCAGGUACCUGCUAUAUCGGCAAGACAAAUACAAAUUGUAAAAGAACGACUGUCACCUAUGAUAAAAAAACCGCGGGGACUAACUGAAACCUUACGGGAUAAAAUCAAAGAGAAUUUAAAACAUCAAAACCGAUACAUAACAGAAUCUUAAAGUGAUGUUUAGCUAUCAACCAAAAUUAAUAAACAGCAAUAAUACUCAUAUUGAUGACGUUCUGCAAAACAAUAUAAAGUGUUGUAACCUCUGCCCAUUGACAAAGGAUCAGGAAAAAUACGAUAGGGUAAUCUGUAUAACAUAUUUACACUCUUAAUAUAUACGUAUGUGCGGCAUAGUUAUUAGUACAGUGAUGAUGAUUGCCAAUCGUUCUUAUAACGACAUUAGACCCGAGCAUGUGAAAUGGACGAAAACAUAUUUCCAAAAUUUAAAAGGGGAAGAUGAUUAUCCGCAUAAUAUUGCCAGGAUUUUACAAAUUUUGGAAGAUCUUAAAAAAGCUAACUUGAUUGAACAUACGGAAGUAAAAAAUAACAUAGAACUAAACGAAGAUGAUAUCCUUAUAAGCGAACUUAUUAACUGAUGCAUUCAUGAAUGUUAUUAAUCUCAUUAUAUCCUCAAUAAAUCUUAUCAGUUUUAUUAGUUUUACUAUAGAUAAUAGAUAAUAUUAGUAAAUAAAUAAUAAUUUUUAGUUUUAAACAUUUCAUAUAGUUCGACUUUGUAUUGUUUAAACUAUGUGAUUUGUGCGCGAUCUCUUUAAUAGAUGAAUAUGACUAAUAAGAAAAAUAAUUGAAACAUUAUACACAAAAAUGUUAUAAUAUUAUUAUGAAUAUAUAAACAUUUUAAGGUUAAAUUAAUUUAAAAAUUGUCAAAAGGAUAAAUUUUAGUAUACAUUGGAAAAAAUUAAAAUGGACGAGCAAAAUGACGCUACAGACGCAGAAAUUUCUAUCACCCCUCAGG